CCGAGUGAGCUACUCCAGAACAGCCUAUAAAGAAGGGCACACCCGUCUCUGUCGCAAAAGAGUGGGAAGAUUCUCGAGUAGGGGUGAUAAACCUAUCGAACCCGGUUAUAGCUGGUUGUCUGGGACAUGAAUAGUAGUUCAGCCCCCUGGGCCCAUAGUCCAACCCACACGUAAAGACCAACACAGACCCAGAGGAGUUAUUUAAAGAAGGUACAGCUUCUUUAACAACAAGAUACAACUUUAGAAGGUGAGUAAGGAUCAUAACUUAAUACAAGGCCCCGUGCUGUAGUAGGCCUAGAAGCAGCCACCUAUCUAGAUAGCGUUAAAGCUUAAGCACACUCCCCCCCCCCCCAUGCCGACAACUCCAUCCGAACUCUCUACCCCUACCAGACCAUUAUGUACCUAUACAUAAGUGAUUCUGCUAAUAUGAGUAAUAAGGAGGCCCAAAAGGCCUCCUCCUAGCACACGUGUACAGCGAAACGAACCCCCACCGCCACCUAACGACGCCACUACAAGAGGCAACUGGGUUACAAAUAGAACACUUAAAAGGCCACCCAGAACACGCACGUUAACCCCACACUGGAGUGCACUAAGGAAAGACUUAAUGAAGGAAAAGGAACUCGGCAAACUAAGGCCUCGCCUGUUUACCAAAAACAUCGCCUCCCGCACACAAAGAAUGGGAGGUCCCGCCUGCCCCGUGACUAUGUGUUUAACGGCCGCGGUAUAUUAACCGUGCAAAGGUAGCGCAAUCACUUGUCUCUUAAUUGGAGACCUGUAUGAAUGGCAUAACGAGGGCCUAUCUGUCUCUUUCUUCGGGUCAAUGAAAUUGAUCUUCCCGUGCAGAAGCGGGCAUAUAUACACGGGACGAGAAGACCCUGUGGAGCUUGAAACACGGGAGGACUCAAAUCAAACACCCCCCUCAAGAGGACUAACACACUGACCCUUCCUCACAUGUUUUCGGUUGGGGCGACCAAGGGAUACAGCACAACUCCCACGUGGACUGGAAUACACUCCACAGCCAAAACCCACCUGUUUAAGCACCAGAAUAUCUGACCUACGGAUCCGGCAGAGCCGAUCAACGAACCAAGUUACCCCAGGGAUAACAGCGCAAUCCUUUCUUAGAGCCCUUAUCGACGAGUGGGUUUACGACCUCGAUGUUGGAUCGGGACACCCUAAUGGUGCAGCCGCUAUU
rnacentral:rRNA from 1 species